rnacentral:rRNA from 1 species
GACGAACGCUGGCGGCGUGCUUAACACAUGCAAGUCGAACGGAAAGGUCCUGCUUAUGUGGGGUGCUCGAGUGGAGAACGGGGGAGUAACACGUGAGUAACGUGCACCUCACGUUGAGAUAAAGUCAGGAAACUUGCGCUAAUACCGGAUAGGAGCUACUGGUGCAUGGUGGGCGUUGGAAAGUUUCGGCGGUUGGGGAUGUAAUCGCCGCUUAUCACCUUGUUGGUGGGGUAGUUGCUUACCAAGGCUUUGACGGGUAGCCGGCCUGGGAGGGUGACCGGAUACACUGGACCUGGGAUACGGCCCGGACUCCUAUGGGACGCAGCGGUGGGGUAGAGUGUACUAUAGGCUGGGGCCUGCUCUAGCAUAGCCGCGUGGCGGAUGUCGGGCUUGGGGUUGUGAAGCGAAUUCGCCUGUGCUGAGGCGAGAAUGACGGUACUGGGAAAAGAAGCACCGGCUAACUACGUG